GCCAUUCUUCCGCCUCAGCCUUCCAAGUAGCUGGGACUACCGGCGCCCGCCAUCGCGCCCAGCUCAUUUUUUUGUAUUUUUAGUAGAGAGGGGGUUUCACCGUUUUAGCCAGGAUGGUCUCGAUAUCCUGACCUUGUGAUCCGCCCGCCUCGGCCUCUCAAAGUGCUGGGAUUACAGGCGUGAGCCACCGCGCCCGACCUAUUGGUUUCUUUUUUUGACACGGAGUCUCACUCUGCCACCCAGGGUGGAGUGCAGUGAUGCAACGUCUCCCUCUUGGGUUCAAGCAAUUCUCCUGCCUCAGGCUCCCAAGUAGCUGGGAUUACAGAAAACUCUUGAGUUCUCCCUGAAAGGAGACUAAAGAACAAUCCUCUGCAGAUGUGUCUGAAUCCUAAAAUGAACUUAAGUCAAGCAUGAUCCCUAAGGCUGCUCAGGGAGAGAGAACCUAGAAACCUGGCAUGCUGGCAAAAGGAGACCAUCAAGCUUCAGAUGAUCAUGCAACAAAAGUCCCAGCUAGUUCCAGGUGAAGACAACACACCUGGCCUUCAAAAAGCUACUCUGCCUCCACUAGAGAGAACAGGGCGAGAGUUCCAUGAUCCCCAGUAGGUAAGGACUACACCCCAAGCCAGCAUGA